UACGUAGGCAGCAAGCGUUGUUCGGAAUUACUGGGCGUAAAGAGUGUGUAGGCGGUCGUGCAAGUCGCGUGUGAAAGCCCCCGGCUCAACUGGGGAGGGUCACGCGAUACUGCUCGACUCGAAGGCAGGAGAGGGAAGUGGAAUUCCCGGUGUAGUGGUGAAAUGCGUAGAUAUCGGGAGGAACACCAGUGGCGAAGGCGACUUCCUGGCCUGUUCUUGACGCUGAGGCGCGAAAGCUAGGGUAGCAAACGGG
rnacentral:rRNA from 1 species